UACGUAGGCAGCAAGCGUUGUUCGGAAUUACUGGGCGUAAAGAGUGUGUAGGUGGUGUCGUAAGUUUGGUGUGAAAUCUCCCGGCUUAACUGGGAGGGUGCGCCGAAGACUGCGAUGCUUGAGUAUGGGAGAGGAAAGCGGAAUUCCUGGUGUAGCGGUGAAAUGCGUAGAUAUCGGGAGGAACACCAGUGGCGAAGGCGAUCAUCUGGGGUUGUUCUGACACUGAGGAGCGAAAGCUAGGGGAGCAAACGGG
rnacentral:rRNA from 1 species